CCUUUGGCCUGAGAAGCAACCACACCCUACCUGAUUCCAGAAUCCCAGAGUACUGCUGGGAUGGUGGCCAUGUCCACAUGAGCAAAGGCUCAUCAUUGGAUAUCAGCAAAGUAAGACAUCUUCAUGGGCAAGAAGGAUGAUCUUUUCUGAAAUCCAAGGUCAUUCCCAGAAGGCUGGGCCCAUCAAACUUCCCUUCUACACAUUCAGCACAGUCUUGGAUUCCAGAAAAACCUAUUGAGGUGACAAAUAACUCCCUUGGUGGAACUUCCUCAUGAAUAAGAAAGAGGAAAGGACUUUUCUUCCCCCUGCCAAGUUAUAUGUGUGCACUUUUACAAGAGCUGUGGGAAGAUACCCUGCCUUUAUCUUAUUCAAAUGAAUGAAUCCAAUGACGUGCAUCUGUCUUAGUUUGUUUCUUCUGGAGUCAGAACCUGAGAUCUAGACUUGCGUGCAGGGCGUUCAAGAGGUGAUCCCAGGAUCCCAAAGAGGGGGGCAUGAAGGAGACAAAAAAGAGGGAAAAUCCAAUACAAUAGAAGUGUGUUUUAGGGUUGCUUCCACAGGAAUCAGGAUUUGACCCUGCUAGGACAUCCUGGGAAGUAUAUAGAAUGCUUCUGGACUUGUCCAUCUGAAAUAAAGGAGGCAAGCACAUUUAUCCCUGGCUCUUGUCCUGCAUUGAUUGAAGAUUGCCCCUUCAGGUGUUAACCUUGCACUUCUGGGUUGUACUUGUGCAUUAGCCAAGGGUGCUAUUUCAGCCUGGAGUAGAAAAAUGGAAAGACUAGAGGUCUGUACAUGAGGUGGAAUGCGGCCAGUUGGAGGUGAGCCUGAGCUUCAGCCUCUAGCUGAAGCUUGCCAGAGGAUGCAGCUCUGUACACCAGAGUGUCUGAGACCACAUUGCAGUCCAGGUAAAACAUAUGUGAGUACAGGCAUCAGAGAAGCUGUGGAUAGGGCCCAUCCUCUCUGUAUAAGAGGCACCUAGCUGAGAACAACAGGAGGGUAGAAAUUGUUCCCUUACACCACCACUUCCUUGUCCUUGCUGCCUGUUCUUUCCUGGAGGACAACAGAGGCCUCAGACUGAAUAAAACACACCUCCAACCUGUCUGGAGUCCUGAAGCCUGGCUAAGCAUGGCAGCAGUAGUGCAUAACAGCCCAUCUUAAACCAAGUUGCAAAGGUUGGCUGGAUUCUGAGCUGAGGCUGUACCACCAACCUCCUGGAUUCCAGGGCUGGCUGUGCUUUUGUGUCCAUUUUCAUCAAAACCAACUCAUGGCCUGGUCAGAGGAGCAGCAGAAGAGUCCUAAAGGGUUCCAUCUGAAGUGAUCAUCAUUUCUCUUCCUUGGGGGAUCUGAGAAACUUUAGGCCAGCCCACCAAGACUCAGAGAGAAGCCCCCUGAUCUCUGGAAGAUCCUAUUUUAUCAGUCUGAGAGACCUCAAGCUGGGUGACUGUAAACUGACAUGGCUUCUAUUUAUUUAUGAAA